rnacentral:rRNA from 1 species
CAUGUAGGCGGCUUAAUAAGUCGAGCGUGAAAAUGCGGGGCUCAACCCCGUAUGGCGCUGGAAACUGUAAGGCUUGAGUGCAGGAGAGGAAAGGGGAAUUCCCAGUGUAGCGGUGAAAUGCGUAGAUAUUGGGAGGAACACCAGUGGCGAAGGCGCCUUUCUGGACUGUGUCUGACGCUGAGAUGCGAAAGCCAGGGUAGCGAACG